UGGGAGAGGGAAGUGACGUCAACGACUAAAGCAAACGCAGAUUGGAUGUUGAUUUCGUUUUCUUCUGUCAACAUCCAAUCUGCGUUUGCUCUAGUCGUUGACGUCACUUCCCUCUUCCAA
rnacentral:pre_miRNA from 1 species